ACGUCAGUGUUCCUUAAUGACCGAGUGGGACCAAACUUCCUCGUAAGGGGGAAAAUUUAUUCUUGAAGCAAUUUAGGACAGAUUUCUCGAGGAAGUGUGUACUUAAAUCAAUUUCUUGAGCACUGAAUAUGAAAUAUAGAGUGUCGAAUACAAGGUAUUUCAGACGAUGCACCCUCUUCAAAAAUCCUCGAGACACGAGUCGUGUACCAUUAGCCAAAUAGGAAUGUGCGUUUACCACUUAGCAGGAAAAAUAGUCCCUUUGGAAAGGCAAACGAGGGACUCAUUGGCCCCUUCGACAAGGCUCACCGAUGAGACAAAUGGAUACUGGUGCUCGGCUGCUGCGACCUUUUCCGCUAUGAGCGGAUAUAAAUAUCUUCCUUCCUAGGAUAGUAGGAAAUUCUCGUUUUUCACGUAUACGGCGAUGAUAUUUCCAGUUAUCAACGUCGUACACGGUAACCGUAAUAAUCGUAUCCUUUGACGAAAAAAAUAUGGCACGGCGCGCGAAAACGCAACAGGCAGCUCGUCUUCAUCUAUUGAAUAACUAGACGAUCGAUUGCAACGAGGCAUAACACACGGCUUCACGCUUUCUGAAGCCGGUCUACGAGGUGAAAAUCGCGAGGAAGAACGAGGUCUUUCGCUUCCUUUCGGAUACCACUAGUUCGCCAAAUUGUAACGUGGUCACGGUGAAACUUUCGCGAAACAAUCAUGUA
rnacentral:misc_RNA from 1 species